rnacentral:rRNA from 1 species
UACAGAGGUCUCAAGCGUUGUUCGGAUUCAUUGGGCGUAAAGGGUGUGUAGGUGGCGCGCUAAGUCGGGUGUGAAAUUUCGGAGCUUAACUCCGAAACUGCAUUCGAUACUGGCGUGCUUGAGGACUGGAGAGGAGACUGGAAUUCAUGGUGAGCAGUGAAAUGCGUAGAGAUCAUGAGGAAGACCAGUGGCGAAGGCGGGUCUCUGGACAGUUCCUGACACUGGAGACACGAAGGCCAGGGGAGCAAACGGG